AAGUCGGACGUGUUUCGCUAGCAUUUCUCUGGCUUCGCAGUUGCUGUAAAGGCUAACGGGCUCUGCCAAGCAGUUCAUAACUUCGCUCCGUAUUACCUGCGUCUGUAGCCGUUUCAGUCCAUUUUAAGUGACAACGCCGAAGAAGCCGGAAGUAUUUUGCUGAGACUUCUCCGCCUUUAGAGCUGCUUUAGUGGCUAAAGGUACUACUUUUGCACCAAGCACCCGUCAAGGACCAUCAUGCCCAUACUCAAAGGCAGCAAGUACCCCAACGAAGUUGCCAGGCAUCAGCAAGAGCUUCUGGCCAUGAGAGGGUACCACCUCAUAUUCGAUG